rnacentral:rRNA from 1 species
UACGUAGGGGGCAAGCGUUGUUCGGAAUUACUGGGCGUAAAGGGCGCGUAGGCGGCAUGGCAAGUCAGGAGUGAAAGGCCUGGGCUCAACCGAGGAACUGCUUUUGAUACUGCCAAGCUAGAGUGCGGAAGGGGCAACUGGAAUUCCCAGUGUAGCGGUGAAAUGCGUAGAUAUUGGGGAAGAACACCUGAGGCGAAGGCGGGUUGCUGGGCCGACACUGACGCUGAGGCGCGAAAGCCAGGGGAGCAAACGGG